UUUUUGUUAUAUUUUAUUUACAAUUUUUAAUUUUGAAGUGGCGUUUAGUGUGAUGUUAAAAUAACUAGGACCGCGCGUGUGUGCGGUUUCGUGAGAUUAUGAUUAAAACAAAGCAAAACUGAACCAAAAGAAGAAAUAUAGGAUUUAAGAGUUAAUAGUAACAACAACAAAGUUAUAUUCUAGGACUUUUUUCUAUGAAUACAUUUUUAAAUGUAAACUAUUUUGAUAUGUUAUUGAUAAGUAUACAUUUAUUUAUUGAUCAGGAAACCAAUUCAGUAUUCACUGAGCUUUCUGACAGCAGGGACCUUUGAUUUUACAGAGAGGUGAUGAAAUCCCCCGGCCUGUGGAUUAUUUGACCAAGAUGCCACCUGACCUUACAUCCUCUGGCAGAUCCUGAUGGGAGUCGUUACAAAGAGGACAAUAUGGCUUUAUGGUGACUUUCACUGACAUGCAAGGUUUUCAGAGACAUUUUCAGCAAGCCCAAGUUCAGAGAAAAGGUCCCCUUUGUAUGUCCAAACAGUGUUGUGAACUGGAGUGCAUUUUCCAGACAAUAUGGGCAAGAGCUCCGGGUGCCUUACUCGUUGACUUUGAAAUAUACAAGGACUGCCCACCUGGAUAUGUAGGUGAUGGCAGAAGGGGAGUCCUGAAUGGGUUUUAUUCCGACAAGGAGGUUCAGGGCUAUUAAUCAUUUGAUUGUUUUUUCAAUGAUGGAGGGGAACUUCAGGCUGUGUAGAUUGUGUCUGUACGGUUAAUGUACGUGAUUAUCUGUAUGUGUGUAUUAUGUCUUUUAAACAAUUAUUUUUGUUUUGAAAUAAAAGUUAUCACUGGUA